UACGUAGGGGGCAAGCGUUGUCCGGAAUCAUUGGGCGUAAAGAGCGUGUAGGCGGCCCGGUAAGUCCGCUGUGAAAGUCCAGGGCUCAACCCUGGGAUGCCGGUGGAUACUGUCGGGCUCGAGUCCGGAAGAGGAGUGUGGAAUUCCUGGUGUAGCGGUGGAAUGCGCAGAUAUCAGGAGGAACACCGAUGGCGAAGGCAGAUCUCUGGGCCGUAACUGACGCUGAGGAGCGAAAGCGUGGGGAGCGAACAGG
rnacentral:rRNA from 1 species